AUUGAACGCUGGCGGCAUGCUUUACACAUGCAAGUCGAACGGUAACAGGCCGCAAGGUGCUGACGAGUGGCGAACGGGUGAGUAAUGCAUCGGAACGUGCCCAGUCGUGGGGGAUAACGCAGCGAAAGCUGCGCUAAUACCGCAUACGAUCUAUGGAUGAAAGCGGGGGACCGUAAGGCCACGCGCGAUUGGAGCGGCAGAUGUCAGAUUAGGUAGUUGGUGGGGUAAAGGUUCACCAACCCAACGAUCUGUAGCUGGUCUGAGAGGACGACCAGCCACACUGGGACUGAGACACGGCCCAGACUCCUACGGGAGGCAGCAGUGGGGAAUUUUGGACAAUGGGCGCAAGCCUGAUCCAGCAAUGCCGCGUGCAGGAAGAAGGCCUUCGGGUUGUAAACUGCUUUUGUACGGAACGAAACGGUCCUGGUUAAUACCUGGGGCUAAUGACGGUACCGUAAGAAUAAGCACCGGCUAACUACGUGCCAGCCGCCGCGGUAA
rnacentral:rRNA from 1 species